GUGUUGCAAUAGUUCAGUAUCGAUACAUCGCUCGUUAUUUGAACAUGAUGCUACUACAGAUUAUAAACGAAUGUAACAUUAAUUUUUACAUUUAUCUAAAAAAUUUUUAAGUAAUGUUAUUUUUAUAAGAGAUCAUUACUACCAACAGACCUCACGGUGGCGAAGAAUAAGAAAGACAUCAAUUUAAGCUGAUGAUUAUUACUCGGGUGGAGUCUUGUUUGAGCAAACGAUGAAAUUAGAUCAGACAGGAACUAACUUCGGAGAUGACGGAACGGUAUAAACACGAUUAAGAAUAUGACCCACUCAUAUUACCAAUGCACCAACAAGAACUGAGUGUAUACAACUCUAUGAUUAUCAUAGAUUACCCAUAAGAAUUGUAUAAAUGCUUAUCGAAUAGAAAUAAACGUUCCAUUUUCGUUGU